UACUGCGCCGAUUUGAAGCCAUAUAUUUGACCUUUGACAAUGAAGAAUGACCUUGACAUUUCACCACUCUAAAUGUGCAGCUCCAUGAAAUACACAUGCAUGCCAAAUAUUAAGUUGCUAUCUUCAAUUUUGCAAAAGUUAUGACCAAGUUUUGGGACAGAAUGACAGGCUAAACACAAUAUACUCCCAAUCAUUCAAU